rnacentral:lncRNA from 1 species
GAAAACAGUAUAACCCCAUUUGACCUUUUGACCCUUGGUCCGGACUGACCAAUGCCGGCCAAUUUAAAAUCCACAGGUUUUGACAACUCAUUGUGAAAACCUUCGGUUUGAUGAACGUAAGUCCCUGGGAGCUUUUAACUUCCAUAAAGUACUGAGAAAAUACAUAUUUAACUUUCAAAAUAUCUUAAAAAAGCCUUAAUAAAAACUUUACACCCGGACCGAAAAACAAUUUACAAAAUAGUUUUAGCCUCCGGUAAACAGAUAUUGGGUUUCCAUUAUAGUAUUUCGCAAUAUUGCAUCAGCCGGUUACGACUAGUUUUAUCAAUACACAUAACAUUCUUUACUGUUUUAAGUAUUAUAACGAAAAAAGUGGAAUUUAAACAACUGAAAUGUAUUCAAGAAUUCUACAAAGAUAUUAUUAGCCAGACGAAUUACAACGUGAAAAAUCCAAGACUUUAUAAAGACAACGAACGUUUAACACAAAAUAUAUCAUCGGAAGACUUCAA